AUUGACCGAUGGCGGCAGGCUUAACACAUGCAAGUCGAGCGAGCGGCGGACGGGUGAGUAAUGUCUGGGAAACUGCCUGAUGGAGGGGGAUAACUACUGGAAACGGUAGCUAAUACCGCAUACCAUCAGAUGUACCCAGAUGGGAUUAGCUAGUCGGAGGGGUAAUGGCUCACCUAGGCGACGAUCCCUAGCUGGUCUGAGAGGAUGACCAGCCACACUGGAACUGAGACACGGUCCAGACUCCUACGGGAAGGAGCAGUGGGGAAUAUUGCACAAUGGGCGCAAGCCUGAAGCAGCCAUGCAGCGUGUGUGAAGAAGGCCUGCGGGUUGUAAAGCACGUUCAGCGAGGAGGCGUUACUCGCAGAAGAAGCACCGGCUAACUCCGUGCCAGCAGCCGCGGUAUUC
rnacentral:rRNA from 1 species